AGUGUCGCCCCUAGCACUCACUGUCUGGUCGGUAAUUGAUUUCCGGGUAGUCUUAGGUUAUAAACCGCACAUGUCGGGUACAUCGUUAAGUUAAAGAAAAAACUUCAAAAAGGUAAAAAUGAAAACAUCAGUAGCUGCGAUAAUUGCCCUUAUGUGCGUUGUUGGGCUCGCACUCGCCGACUACGGUUCCGCAGGCUAUGGUUACAUGCCAUACUACGGAUCGACUCAAGGAGCUGGUGGAAUCGGAAAUGGCGGAUUUUUUAUGCUGAUCGGGUUCUUGUUCAUCAUCUUGCUUUUGUUCGGAAAUAACAAGCCAGGACACCAUCAACCCUUUG